GUGCCAGCAGCCGCGGUAAUACGUAGGUGGCAAGCGUUAUCCGGAAUUAUUGGGCGUAAAGCGCGCGUAGGCGGUUUUUUAAGUCUGAUGUGAAAGCCCACGGCUCAACCGUGGAGGGUCAUUGGAAACUGGAAAACUUGAGUGCAGAAGAGGAAAGUGGAAUUCCAUGUGUAGCGGUGAAAUGCGCAGAGAUAUGGAGGAACACCAGUGGCGAAGGCGACUUUCUNGGUCUGUAACUGACGCUGAUGUGCGAAAGCGUGGGGAUCAAACAGGAUUAGAUAC
rnacentral:rRNA from 1 species